AACGAACGCUGGCGGCAUGCCUAACACAUGCAAGUCGAACGAGACCUUCGGGUCUAGUGGCGCACGGGUGCGUAACGCGUGGGAACCUGCCCUUAGGUUCGGAAUAACUCCCCGAAAGGGGUGCUAAUACCGGAUAAUGUCUUCGGACCAAAGAUUUAUCGCCUUUGGAUGGGCCCGCGUUGGAUUAGCUAGUUGGUAGGGUAAAAGCCUACCAAGGCGACGAUCCAUAGCUGGUCUGAGAGGAUGAUCAGCCACACUGGGACUGAGACACGGCCCAGACUCCUACGGGAGGCAGCAGUAGGGAAUAUUGGACAAGGGGCGAAAGCCUGAUACAGCAAUGCCGCGUGAGUGAUGAAGGCCUUAGGGUUGUAAAGCUCUUUUACCCGGGAUGAUAAUGACAGUACCGGGAGAAUAAGCUCCGGCUAACUCCGUG
rnacentral:rRNA from 1 species